rnacentral:misc_RNA from 1 species
GAUGAAGAACGUAGCGAAAUGCGAUAAGUAAUGCGAAUUGCAGAAUUCAGUGAGUCAUCGAAUCUUUGAACGCACAUUGCGCCCUGUGGUAUUCCGCAGGGCAUGCCUGUUCGAGCGUCAUUUCAACCCUCAAGCUCUGCUUGGUGUUGGGCCCUGCCCGCUGCGGCCGGCCCUAAAGACAGUGGCGGUGCCGCCUGGCCCUGAGCGUAGUACAUCUCUCGCUCCAGUGCCCGGUGGUAGCCUGCCAGAACCCCAACUCUCGUGGUUCACCUCGGAUCAGGUAGGGAUACCCGCUGAACUUAAGCAUAUCAAUAAGCGGAGGA